GACGAACGCUGGCGGCGUGCUUAACACAUGCAAGUCGAACGGAAAGGCCCCUUUGGGGGUACUCGAGUUGCGAACGGGUGAGUAACACGUGAGUAACCUGCCCUUGACUUCGGGAUAACUUCAGGAAACUGGGGCUAAUACCGGAUAGGAAUCCUUGCUGCAUGGUGGGGGUUGGAAAGCUUCGGCGGUUUUGGAUGGACUCGCGGCUUAUCAGCUUGUUGGUGGGGUAGUGGCUUACCAAGGCUUUGACGGGUAGCCGGCCUGAGAGGGCGACCGGCCACAUUGGGACUGAGAUACGGCCCAGACUCCUACGGGAGGCAGCAGUGGGGAAUAUUGCACAAUGGGCGGAAGCCUGAUGCAGCAACGCCGCGUGCGGGAUGACGGCCUUCGGGUUGUAAACCGCUUUCAGCAGGGGCGAAGCUUGUGGUGACGGUACCUGCAGAAGAAGCACCGGCUAACUACGUG
rnacentral:rRNA from 1 species